rnacentral:rRNA from 1 species
GACGAACGCUGGCGGCGUGCUUAACACAUGCAAGUCGAACGGAAAGGCCCUGCUUGCAGGGUACUCGAGUGGCGAACGGGUGAGUAACACGUGGGUGAUCUGCCCUGCACUUCGGGAUAAGCCUGGGAAACUGGGUCUAAUACCGGAUAGGAGCCAUUUUUAGUGUGAUGGUUGGAAAGUUUUUUCGGUGUAGGAUGAGCUCGCGGCCUAUCAGCUUGUUGGUGGGGUAAUGGCCUACCCAGGCGGCGACGGGUAGCCGGCCUGAGAGGGUGGACGGCCACAUUGGGACUGAGAUACGGCCCAGACGCCUACGGGAGGCAGCAGUGGGGAAUAUUGCACAAUGGGCGCAAGCCUGAUGCAGCGACGCCGCGUGGGGGAUGACGGCCUUCGGGUUGUAAACUCCUUUCGCUAGGGACGAAGCUUUUUGUGACGGUACCUAGAUAAGAAGCACCGGCUAACUACGUG